UACAGAGGGUGCAAGCGUUGUUCGGAAUUAUUGGGCGUAAAGCGCGUGUAGGCGGCUUUGCAAGUCGGGUGUGAAAGCCCUCAGCUCAACUGAGGAAGUGCGCCCGAAACUGCAGAGCUUGAGUGCCGGAGAGGGUGGCGGAAUUCCCCAAGUAGAGGUGAAAUUCGUAGAUAGGGGAGGAACACCGUGGGCGAAGGCGGCCACCUGGACGGUACUGACGGCUGAGACGCGAAAGCGUGGGGAGCGAACAGG
rnacentral:rRNA from 1 species